GUUCUUGUUCAUAAACUCUAGCCAACAUAUUCUUUGUUACCAUUUCGUUGGUCUUCACCAUACUUAGCUUGAUAUGAACAAGGUUUGAUCCAAAGAUUCCCUAUGAGUUAUUUCUUCAUCUUUUCUAGCUAGCUAGCUAGGGUUUCACUUUUGUUAAAACCCUAUAUUCUCUUCUUCUGUUCUUGAUCAAGAGUGAUAGCAGAUCUCAUUGAAAGCACAACAGUCAGUUCUUGCUGAUGCAGCAUGAUCAAGAUUCACAAAAGAUCACAUUUUUAGAGUUUCAUGGUUUUUGAAAAAAUAAAUAUUUUUGUCAAGAGAAGAUAAACUAUUUGUGUGUCUUUUUUUUUGCAUAUUCAUGAUUAUUGUUCCAAAUCUAUGGACUCUUUAAUAAUUUGCGAAUCUUGAUGAUGCUGCAGCGGCAAUUGGUGGCUAAUUUCUUUUUAUUAUAUAUUGUUGCCAAUAGUUUUUUUUAAAGGGCCAACGAAUCCUUCAAAUGAACUACUGGCGAAAUUCAUCACAUUGGGAUACACUCGCCUCCGAACCGGGGAAAACCCUCACCUAGGGCCGAAGCCCGUGAACACUCACAUGAAGGCACGACAGUGCGGCAAGGCAAAAUGGAGCACAUUAGUGAUGUAUGUAGCUGUACAAAUAGAAAGGUGAUUUAAAGAAAAUAAACUUAGAUGUAUACAAAAAAACUAGUGUCUUAUAAAUGGAAAAAAUUC
rnacentral:lncRNA from 1 species